GAGGUUGUGGCUCAGUGGUAGAGUGCUUGCCUAGCAUGUGUCAACCACUGGGUUCGAUACCCAGCACCCCA
rnacentral:tRNA from 1 species